rnacentral:rRNA from 1 species
UGUUUCGGCUAGGGGGUCAUCCCGACUUACCAACCCGAUGCAAACUGCGAAUACCGAAGAAUGUUAUCACGGGAGACACACGGCGGGUGCUAACGUCCGUCGUGAAGAGGGAAACAACCCAGACCGCCAGCUAAGGUCCCAAAGUCACAGUUAAGUGGGAAACGAUGUGGGAAGGCACAGACAGCCAGGAUGUUGGCUUAGAAGCAGCCAUCAUUUAAAGAAAGCGUAAUAGCUCACUGGUCGAGUCGGCCUGCGCGGAAGAUGUAACGGGGCUAAACUGUGCACCGAAGCUGCGGCAGCGACACUAUGUGUUGUUGGGUAGGGGAGCGUUCUGUAAGCCGUUGAAGGUGUCCUGUGAGGGGUGCUGGAGGUAUCAGAAGUGCGAAUGCUGACAUAAGUAACGAUAAUGCGGGUGAAAAACCCGCACGCCGGAAGACCAAGGGUUCCUGUCCAACGUUAAUCGGGGCAGGGUGAGUCGACCCCUAAGGCGAGGCCGAAAGGCGUAGUCGAUGGGAAACAGGUUAAUAUUCCUGUACUUGGUGUUACUGCGAAGGGGGGACGGAGAAGGCUAUGUUAGCCGGGCGACGGUUGUCC